rnacentral:rRNA from 1 species
UAGAGUUUUGUAUUUCUGGCUCAGGACGAACGCUGGCGGCGUGCCUAAUACAUGCAAGUCGAGCGGACAGAAGGGAGCUUGCUCCCGGAUGUUAGCGGCGGACGGGUGAGUAACACGUGGGUAACCUGCCUGUAAGACUGGGAUAACUCCGGGAAACCGGAGCUAAUACCGGAUAGUUCCUUGAACCGCAUGGUUCAAGGAUGAAAGACGGUUUCGGCUGUCACUUACAGAUGGACCCGCGGCGCAUUAGCUAGUUGGUGGGGUAAUGGCUCACCAAGGCGACGAUGCGUAGCCGACCUGAGAGGGUGAUCGGCCACACUGGGACUGAGACACGGCCCAGACUCCUACGGGAGGCAGCAGUAGGGAAUCUUCCGCAAUGGACGAAAGUCUGACGGAGCAACGCCGCGUGAGUGAUGAAGGUUUUCGGAUCGUAAAGCUCUGUUGUUAGGGAAGAACAAGUGCGAGAGUAACUGCUCGCACCUUGACGGUACCUAACCAGAAAGCCACGGCUAACUACGUGCCAGCAGCCGCGGUAAUACGUAGGUGGCAAGCGUUGUCCGGAAUUAUUGGGCGUAAAGGGCUCGCAGGCGGUUUCUUAAGUCUGAUGUGAAAGCCCCCGGCUCAACCGGGGAGGGUCAUUGGAAACUGGGAAACUUGAGUGCAGAAGAGGAGAGUGGAAUUCCACGUGUAGCGGUGAAAUGCGUAGAGAUGUGGAGGAACACCAGUGGCGAAGGCGACUCUCUGGUCUGUAACUGACGCUGAGGAGCGAAAGCGUGGGGAGCGAACAGGAUUAGAUACCCUGGUAGUCCACGCCGUAAACGAUGAGUGCUAAGUGUUAGGGGGUUUCCGCCCCUUAGUGCUGCAGCUAACCGCAUUAAGC